UCUUGCUUAUUUGUCCAAGUGAAGUGCCACCCUUUGUCUCUAAGGGAAGUGAGUUGCAAAUCUGAAACAGUGUCUUUGAAAUCUUUAACUUCAGCAUCAGUAACUAGAGAUCCAGUUCUGUCAUCAGAACAUAAGACACAGUUGAAAUCUCCACUAAUCAACCAAGCAUCUUGACUGGGAAUAUAGAUUGAUCUAAGGUCACUCCACAAUUGGCUCCUGAGAAGUGCAGUAUUAUAGGCAUAUACAACACUUAGUUGGAUUUUGGCCUGACUUCUUGUAUCUUCUAAAAGGCAAUGAAUAAGCUGAUCAGUAAUAGAG
rnacentral:lncRNA from 1 species